GACGAACGCUUUUGGCGUGCUUAACACAUGCAAGUCGAACGGAAAGGCCCUGCUUUUGUGGGGUGCUCGAGUGGCGAACGGGUGAGUAACACGUGAGUAACCUGCCCUUGACUUUGGGAUAACUUCAGGAAACUGGGGCUAAUACCGGAUAGGAGCUCCUGCUGCAUGGUGGGGGUUGGAAAGUUUCGGCGGUUGGGGAUGGACUCGCGGCUUAUCAGCUUGUUGGUGGGGUAGUGGCUUACCAAGGCUUUGACGGGUAGCCGGCCUGAGAGGGUGACCGGCCACAUUGGGACUGAGAUACGGCCCAGACUCCUACGGGAGGCAGCAGUGGGGAAUAUUGCACAAUGGGCGGAAGCCUGAUGCAGCAACGCCGCGUGCGGGAUGACGGCCUUCGGGCUGUAAACCGCUUUCGCCUGUGACGAAGCGUGAGUGACGGUAAUGGGUAAAGAAGCACCGGCUAACUACGUGCCAGCAGCCGCGGUGAUACGUAGGGUGCGAGCGUUGUCCGGAUUUAUUGGGCGUAAAGGGCUCGUAGGUGGUUGAUCGCGUCGGAAGUGUAAUCUUGGGGCUUAACCCUGAGCGUGCUUUCGAUACGGGUUGACUUGAGGAAGGUAGGGGAGAAUGGAAUUCCUGGUGGAGCGGUGGAAUGCGCAGAUAUCAGGAGGAACACCAGUGGCGAAGGCGGUCCUCUGGGCCUUUCCUGACGCUGAGGAGCGAAAGCGUGGGGAGCGAACAGGCUUAGAUACCCUGGUAGUCCACGCUGUAAACGGUGGGUACUAGGUGUGGGGUCCAUUCCACGGGUUCCGUGCCGUAGCUAACGCUUUAAGUACCCCGCCUGGGGAGUACGGCCGCAAGGCUAAAACUCAAAGGAAUUGACGGGGCCCCGCACAAGCGGCGGAGCAUGCGGAUUAAUUCGAUGCAACGCGUAGAACCUUACCUGGGUUUGACAUGGAUCGGGAGUGCUCAGAGAUGGGUGUGCCUCUUUUGGGGUCGGUUCACAGGUGGUGCAUGGCUGUCGUCAGCUCGUGUCGUGAGAUGUUGGGUUAAGUCCCGCAACGAGCGCAACCCUUGUUCACUGUUGCCAGCACGUUAUGGUGGGGACUCAGUGGAGACCGCCGGGGUCAACUCGGAGGAAGGUGGGGAUGACGUCAAGUCAUCAUGCCCCUUAUGUCCAGGGCUUCACGCAUGCUACAAUGGCUGGUACAGAGGGUGGCGAGCCUGUGAGGGUGAGCGAAUCUCGGAAAGCCGGUCUCAGUUCGGAUUGGGGUCUGCAACUCGACCUCAUGAAGUCGGAGUCGCUAGUAAUCGCAGAUCAGCAACGCUGCGGUGAAUACGUUCCCGGGGCU
rnacentral:rRNA from 1 species